AUGGCGCUGUGGCCUAGGCACCUGCUCCACACGCUCCUCAGCUCUGCAGCUGUGAGCCCCUUUCCCCCUGGAUCUGAGUCUUGGGCUGAGGUUGUGUUCACUCAGGCCCAUUCUGUGUCGGGGUCUCCGGGGCAGACGGUCACCAUCUCCUGCACCCACAGAAGUGGCAGCAUUGACAGCAGUUAUGUGCACUGGUACCAGCAGCUCCCGGGCAAUGCCAUCACCACUGUGAUCUAUGAGGAUAAGCAAAGACCCUCUGGGGUCCCUGGCUCUGGAGUCCCCAGCUGCUUCUUUGGGUCUAAAGAUGCCUCAGCCAAUGCAGGGAUUCUGCACAUCUCUGGGCUCCAGCCUGAGGACGAGGCUAUGACUGUGAUGUAA